GAUUCUGGCUCAGGAUGAACGCUGGCGGCGUGCCUAACACAUGCAAGUCGAACGGAGUAUUUAGAGCUUGCUUUGAAUACUUAGUGGCGGACGGGUGAGUAAUGUAUGAGCAACCUGCCUUUCAGAGGGGGACAACAGUUGGAAACGACUGCUAAUACCGCGUAACGUAUGAUGGGGGCAUCCCCGACAUACCAAAGGAGCAAUCCGCUGAAAGAUGGGCUCAUAUCUGAUUAGCUAGUUGGUAGGGUAACGGCCUACCAAGGCUGCGAUCAGUAGCCGGACUGAGAGGUUGAACGGCCACAUUGGGACUGAGAUACGGCCCAGACUCCUACGGGAGGCAGCAGUGGGGAAUAUUGGGCAAUGGGCGAAAGCCCUGACCCAGCAACGCCGCGUGAAGGAAGAAGGUCUUCGGAUUGUAAACUUCUUUUAUGAGGGACGAAGGACGUGACGGUACCUCAUGAAUAAGCCACGGCUAACUACGUGCCAGCCGCAGC
rnacentral:rRNA from 1 species